CUACACACGUGCUACAAUGGCGCAUACAAAGAGAAGCGACCUCGCGAGAGCAAGCGGACCUCAUAAAGUGCGUCGUAGUCCGGAUUGGAGUCUGCAACUCGACUCCAUGAAGUCGGAAUCGCUAGUAAUCGUGGAUCAGAAUGCCACGGUGAAUACGUUCCCGGGCCUUGUACACACCGCCCGUCACACCAUGGGAGUGGGUUGCAAAAGAAGUAGGUAGCUUAACCUUCGGGAGGGCGCUUACCACUUUGUGAUUCAUGACUGGGGUGAAGUCGUAACAAGGUAACCGUAGGGGAACCUGCGGU
rnacentral:rRNA from 1 species